rnacentral:rRNA from 1 species
AGAUUAAGUUAUUAAGGGCGCACGGUGGAUGCCUUGGCACUAGAAGCCGAUGAAGGACGUUACUAACGACGAUAUGCUUUGGGGAGCUGUAAGUAAGCUUUGAUCCAGAGAUUUCCGAAUGGGGAAACCCAGCAUGAGUUAUGUCAUGUUAUCGAUAUGUGAAUACAUAGCAUAUCAGAAGGCACACCCGGAGAACUGAAACAUCUUAGUACCCGGAGGAAGAGAAAGAAAAUUCGAUUCCCUUAGUAGCGGCGAGCGAAACGGGAAGAGCCCAAACCAACAAGCUUGCUUGUUGGGGUUGUAGGACACUCUAUACGGAGUUACAAAGGACGACAUUAGACGAAUCAUCUGGAAAGAUGAAUCAAAGAAGGUAAUAAUCCUGUAGUCGAAAAUGUUGUCUCUCUUGAGUGGAUCCUGAGUACGACGGAGCACGUGAAAUUCCGUCGGAAUCUGGGAGGACCAUCUCCUAAGGCUAAAUACUCUCUAGUGACCGAUAGUGAACCAGUACCGUGAGGGAAAGGUGAAAAGCACCCCGGAAGGGGAGUGAAAUAGAACCUGAAACCGUGUGCUUACAAGUAGUCAGAGCCCGUUAAUGGGUGAUGGCGUGCCUUUUGUAGAAUGAACCGGCGAGUUACGAUUUGAUGCAAGGUUAAGCAGUAAAUGUGGAGCCGUAGCGAAAGCGAGUCUGAAUAGGGCGUUUAGUAUUUGGUCGUAGACCCGAAACCAGGUGAUCUACCCUUGGUCAGGUUGAAGUUCAGGUAACACUGAAUGGAGGACCGAACCGACUUACGUUGAAAAGUGAGCGGAUGAACUGAGGGUAGCGGAGAAAUUCCAAUCGAACCUGGAGAUAGCUGGUUCUCUCCGAAAUAGCUUUAGGGCUAGCCUCAAGUGAUGAUUAUUGGAGGUAGAGCACUGUUUGGACGAGGGGCCCCUCUCGGGUUACCGAAUUCAGACAAACUCCGAAUGCCAAUUAAUUUAACUUGGGAGUCAGAACAUGGGUGAUAAGGUCCGUGUUCGAAAGGGAAACAGCCCAGACCACCAGCUAAGGUCCCAAAAUAUAUGUUAAGUGGAAAAGGAUGUGGCGUUGCCCAGACAACUAGGAUGUUGGCUUAGAAGCAGCCAUCAUUUAAAGAGUGCGUAAUAGCUCACUAGUCGAGUGACACUGCGCCGAAAAUGUACCGGGGCUAAACAUAUUACCGAAGCUGUGGAUUGUCCUUUGGACAAUGGUAGGAGAGCGUUCUAAGGGCGUUGAAGCAUGAUCGUAAGGACAUGUGGAGCGCUUAGAAGUGAGAAUGCCGGUGUGAGUAGCGAAAGACGGGUGAGAAUCCCGUCCACCGAUUGACUAAGGUUUCCAGAGGAAGGCUCGUCCGCUCUGGGUUAGUCGGGUCCUAAGCUGAGGCCGACAGGCGUAGGC